AGUGAACGCUGGCGGUAGGCCUAGCACAUGCAAGUCGAACGGCAGCACAGUAAGAGCUUGCUCUUACGGGUGGCGAGUGGCGGACGGGUGAGGAAUACAUCGGAAUCUACUUUUUCGUGGGGGAUAACGUAGGGAAACUUACGCUAAUACCGCAUACGACCUACGGGUGAAAGCAGGGGUUCUUCGGACCUUGCGCGAUUGAAUGAGCCGAUGUCGGAUUAGCUAGUUGGCGGGGUAAAGGCCCACCAAGGCGACGAUCCGUAGCUGGUCUGAGAGGAUGAUCAGCCACACUGGAACUGAGACACGGUCCAGACUCCUACGGGAGGCAGCAGUGGGGAAUAUUGGACAAUGGGCGCAAGCCUGAUCCAGCCAUACCGCGUGGGUGAAGAAGGCCUUCGGGUUGUAAAGCCCUUUUGUUGGGAAAGAAAAGCAGCAGGUUAAUACCCCGCUGUUCUGACGGUACCCAAAGAAUAAGCACCGGCUAACUUCGUG
rnacentral:rRNA from 1 species